rnacentral:rRNA from 1 species
CGACGCCGCGUGGGGGAUGAAGCUUUUCGGAGUGUAAACCCCUUUCGACCCGGACGAAAACCUCGCAAGAGGAUUGACGGUACGGGUAUAAGAAGCCCCGGCUAACUACGUGC